UUCAGUUUCUAAGUGAGCCCAACAGCUGGUAUUUGGGUUAAUAGAUGAUAAUAAUAGGAAUCCCAAACCAAGCAUAUCUGAUCCUUGAAGGAACACGUAGCAAACGUGACUCAGCCACUCCCUCAACCGACUCAAAACAGUAUAAGAAAAGGAGAGUUGAGCGUGAACCAAAUUUUCCCCAUUCUGCAAGCAUAUAAGAAAAGGAGAGUUGAGAGAGAUAGGGCUUACCUGAGGACGACGGCGGUGGCGGCAGGCUUCGCCGGUGAGAUUAAUUCCAGAGGGGAAGAAGGGAGGUAGAAACCCUAGGAAUUAGAUUUUAUGAUUUGGGGAUUUAGUUAUAGGGAAAAGAGGAAAGAAGGAGGGGGAAGAGAAGAGGCCGGCCUCGCCGCGCCGGAGGCAGCGAGGGCCGGCGACACUAGCCGGAGUAUAGGGAAGAGAGAGAGACGGUAGGGAGAGAGAGGGGGAAAGCAUACCUGCGUAAGAACAAAAAAAUGAAGGAAGGGGAGAGAUAAUUAGUUUGAAAGAAAAUUCUGGAUUUUAAUAUAACUUUAAUUUAUUAAAAUAGAAAAUGGGCAAUUGGGCUUAAUUUAGUAUUUGGACCUACCAAUUUCUCAUGAGCCUAUUCAUUUCCUAAUAAGCUUAAGUAUAAUAGAUUAUUGUUG
rnacentral:lncRNA from 1 species